rnacentral:ncRNA from 18 species
UCCGAGGUGACUGAUUUGGUUUCUGCCGAGUCAGUGAACAGGGAACUCCGGUGAAAUUCCGGGACGGUCCGGCCGCUGUGUGCCGCCAGAGAUCUUCCAAGUGAAGUCUCAUUGUUUGCUUUUCUAUUCAGCCAUUGCUCGUGUUUUCGCGUUUCAACGUGAACGUGAGUGAGAAGGCCAUGAGCAAACAAAGUGGUGGUGAGUCAGAAGACCUACCUCGUACAAGACGUUUUGG